UUUGCUGAACUCUCUCUCCCUCUCAACGUCUCCCUCUCUCUGUCUCUCCCUGUCUCUCUCUAUCUCUCUCUCUUUCCAUGUUCAUCAUUUUUACUCAAGUUUCAAGCUUGAAAUGGGAGUCUUUAGAGUGAAAUUUUGUAAAUAAAGGUUGGAGAGCUCGUCGUGAUCUUCGCAAUGGUAGUCUCGGAUUCAUGAUCGGGUAAGAUUUGCCUUCCAGGUCUGUUUUUCUUCAUUAUUUGAGGGAAUGUUUUUCGGAUUUGAAGAUCAAACAAUAGAUUUUAUCAUUUCACAAGUGUAAUGUAGUGAUGGAUUGUACUAUUUCACUUGUUGUUUAGCCAAGUGCUAGACAAUAGCGUGAAUGGACUUUCGGGAAGCAAGAGCUUCUUUAUUAUGUUUUGUUGGGUGUAUGUUUGUAUUUGUAAAGCCAAUGGUUUAAAAUGUAAUGAACGAGACUCAAUUUGUGUAACCCAGCAAUGACUUGGAAAGAUGUAACCCUACAUGACAUUUAAUUGGUUGUUAAGCAGUAGACUCUGAUGUAUGAAAGUAUGUUAUUUCUCA